rnacentral:tRNA from 1 species
GGAGAGAUGGCCGAGUGGACGAAGGCGCUCCCCUGCUAAGGGAGUAUACGGCUUAUACCCGUAUCGAGGGUUCGAAUCCCUCUCUCUCCGCCA